CAGACAGACAGUUGUAAACAGAAGUCAUCCGACACACACAAAUAAAGAUUAGCACCGGCCGGGCAAGGUCUCACUGAAUUGCUAAAGAUCUUGGCUGAUUUUUAAGCGGCAGCAAACGAGCCUUUCGGGAAUUGCCAAAUGACCCAAGGAAAAACAUGGGAAAGUCUGCAGGGAGGGUGGGACCGGGGGUGGAGCGGGUUGCAGACGCGGACCAGAUGAAGGCCAAGGCGAUCCGGGAGACAGACAGGCAGCUACGCCAGAGAUGCUCGGUGAAGUCCAAGACCAGCGCUCCCUGACCCCCAAGCGAGGGACCAUUUGUCACAGAGGAAGACAUCCCGUCUGCCUGGGAAGGAUGAGGCACGAUAUUUCAAUUGUUUUAUCCGCUUUCCAAUAGAGCCGGUUAUGAAUUCGCA